AGAAAAUCCUGCCGAAGAGACCGGGUUACUUGAAGAAAAAGGGGGCUAUGAACUAAAAAAGAUGUUUUAUGUGUGCCUUUUUUCGGGCAGCAUACACCUUGCAUUUGUAGCAAUUCUAAUUGUUAUUGCACUGUGGUUUCGUAAAACUAAAGCUGUCAUCAGUAGAGGGCCUGUUUUCUUGUGUCACUUAAGCAUUUCAUUAAUGGGCAUGAUAGCAACAUCCAUAUUUUACACCAAGACUCAAACCGAUAGAGUAAUCACCCAAGGUUAUGAU